GAACCAGUGCUGUAGAAACUCCACACAGUUAAGCAGUGUGUCUGCUUACUGUCUGUUAUAUAACUUUAGACCCAAGGACAAUGCUUGACAGAGUCAGUAUUCAAAAAUCUGUCCAAGGUGCCUUUGUUUGGUGCUCUCUGACGAGGAGUGUUUGAGCAAUAUAUGCACAAGGUUUCUUCUAACAGCCGCCAAAACUUGAAUUGGAGAUGCUAGAGAGGAAGAUGUAGAAAAUGGGCAAAAUAUCAGCCUGAUACCAUGAGGAUGAAUGAGAGAGAGCUUACCCUUGCCUCUCCACAACUACGGCAGCUUGGUGGUUUUGGACCCAGUCUGAAAAUGUAGAAACUGAGCUGAGACUUAUUUCCGUUGAGCAUUUCUCAAAGUAUGACAUAUGCGGCAGCACUUGAGAUGAUUUUAGGGUUUGUGGACAAACUUUGUUAUCAUGCCAAUUAUAGAUAUAUCUAAUGACCAUAGAAAAUGUGAUUUGUCCCUUAAAUCUCUGCCAUCUGCCUUGUAUAUUGUUUUUUUCCAGAAUGAAGCCAAGUAAAAACAGUGAGACUGAAUAAUUGUACAAAUAGCGUGUGACAGAGUUUCAAAUGAUGAGAGAGCCUUAAGAGUUACUGACAUUUGC
rnacentral:lncRNA from 1 species